GACCUACGGGGGGCAGCAGUGAGGAAUAUUGGUCAAUGGGAGAGAUCCUGAACCAGCCAAGCCGCGUGAGGGAAGACGGCCCUAUGGGUUGUAAACCUCUUUUGUCGGAGAACAAAACCCGGGACGUGUCCCGGACUGCGUGUAUCCGAAGAAAAAGCAUCGGCUAACUACGUGCCAGCAGCCGCGGUAAUACGUAGGGGGCAAGCGUUAUCCGGAUUUACUGGGUGUAAAGGGAGCGUAGACUGCAGUGCAAGUCUGGAGUGAAAGGCGGGGGCUCAACCCCCGG
rnacentral:rRNA from 1 species